AGCAGCCGCGGUAAUUCCAGCUCCAAUAGCGUAUAUUAAAGUUGUUGCAGUUAAAAAGCUCGUAGCUGAAUUUCGGGAUCAGCAGGUUGGUCUUGCCACUGGUAUGUACUAGCUUGCUGAUUCCUUCUUCUUGUAGAACCGUAAUGCCAUUAAUUUGGUGUUGCGGGGAAACAGGACUGUUACUUUGAAAAAUUAGAGUGUUUAAAGCAGGCUAACGCUUGAAUACAUUAGCAUGGAAUAAUGAAUAGGACGUUCGAUCCUAUUUUGUUGGUUUCUAGGAUUGACGUAAUGAUUAAUAGGGAUAGUUGGGGCAUUAGUAUUCAAUUGUCAGAGGUGAAAUUCUUGGAUUUAUUGAAGACUAACUACUGCGAAAGCAUUUGCCAAGGAUGUUUCAUUAAUCAAGAACGAAGUUAGGGAUCGAAGACGAU
rnacentral:rRNA from 1 species